AGUAAGAAGUCCUAUUUUUAGAAGAUUGGUGUGAAAAUGUCCUUUACAUAUAUUUGUUUGGUCGAGGACAUGGUAGUUUGAUAUCUUGUUGUUUUAGGUGUCUACCUAUAGAGUGGUUGCAGAAUUCUGAAUUUUUCAUUUAUAGGAAAGAUUUUUUAGAUGUCAGCAUAGAGGUUGGUAGGUUUUGAGGACUAAGGAUGUCUUGAGCCCAAGAUUUGAUGCUUGGUAGUUAGGCACUAGCUUGCUUGUAGAGAAGUCAUGA
rnacentral:lncRNA from 1 species